rnacentral:rRNA from 1 species
UACAGAGGUCUCAAGCGUUGUUCGGAUUCAUUGGGCGUAAAGGGUGCGUAGGCGGCGCGGUAAGUCGGGUGUGAAAUCUCGGAGCUUAACUCCGAAACUGCAUUCGAUACUGCCGUGCUUGAGGACUGGAGAGGAGACUGGAAUUUACGGUGUAGCGGUGAAGUGCGUAGAUAUCGUAAGGAAGACCAGUGGCGAAGGCGGGUCUCUGGACAGUUCCUGACGCUGAGGCACGAAUGCCAGGGGAGCAAACGGG